AGAACGAACGCUGGCGGCAUGCCUAACACAUGCAAGUCGAACGAGACCUUCGGGUCUAGUGGCGCACGGGUGCGUAACGCGUGGGAAUCUGCCCUUGGGUUCGGGAUAACAGUUGGAGACGACUGCUAAUACCGGAUGAUAUCUUCGGAUCAAAGAUUUAUCGCCCAGGGAUGAGCCCGCGUAGGAUUAGCUUGGUGGUGAGGUAAGAGCUCACCAAGGCGACGAUCCUUAGCUGGUCUGAGAGGAUGAUCAGCCACACUGGGACUGAGACACGGCCCAGACUCCUACGGGAGGCAGCAGUGGGAAUAUGGACAAUGGGCGAAAGCCUGAUCCAGCAGUGCCGCGUGAGUGAUGAAGGCCUUAGGGUUGUAAAGCUCGUUUACCCGGAUGAUAAUGACAGUACCGGAGAAUAAGCCCCGGAUAACGUCCGUGCCAGCAGCCGA
rnacentral:rRNA from 1 species